AUGCCAUUGACUCACAGAAAGCCUAUUACUGUUCUCUCUGUGGAGUCCAUCAUCCCUAACGGAAGAUCCCUGAUAUUUUGGAUACACCUCCAAGGGCCUUGUAUUAGGCAUUGUGAAGGAAAGAAAUGCACGGAAAAUCUCAUAGAGGCUGAUAAAUCAAGGAUAAUGCCUAAGGUACUCUUUGUAAGAGGGAUAAUAAAACUUCUCAGCUGAAUGUUGAACUGAUAAAUGAUGACGUUGAUGACUAUGGCAAUGAUAAGUGAGUUGUAAUACAGUUAUCAAGCACUCAUGGCAAACUCGGCUCUGAGUAAUAUAGAAUAUCCUCAACCAGAUGAUCAUGAUGUAUGUACUGAUUUUGGCACAUACAUCAUGUGCCAUGGGUUCUAGGCACAUGCAUAGUACCAAGUAUUUAGGGUUAUAAGCACCAUGAGAUAACUUUCUCACAAUUUUCAGAAAGAAAAACCCAACCAGAAGAUAACCAUUUUGACUGUCUUUAGGAUCCAUGAUUCUUUUCUGCCUGGGAGAGACUGCAAGGCUUCAGAGAAUUCAAACGUUGCUUCUCAUUAAGGAAAUAGUGAAUUAACCUAUAUGUAGUAUCUGAAAAAAUUAAACUUCUAUUCUUGGUGCUUUCUUUCUUAACGGGCCUAAAAUGGACCUUACAGGUAUAAUCUCAGUAACUCAAAUAUUAUAAGAGGAAAAUGGCCUGCCAUGUUCAUAAUGUAGCAGAUUAUUUUAACUAGUAAUUAAUAAAACUGAACAACAGCAUUAAAGAGAACACCUAUAGUCCCUUGGCAUGAGACUAGAGGCAAAUGUAGAUUGUCCUCUGUGAGUGUGAAUGGUCUACUAUCGAGCAAUUUAUAUAUUUAGGUAGAAUGUGAAUUGCUUAGGACACACCCAUGACGUGAGGUGAAGGGUACCAAUGUCCAUUUAAAGAAUCUGUUUUAAAGUACUAUUUAAAAAAUUCGACAGUAGAGCCUAUUCCAGCUAUAAUAGGCUUUCAUUUACAUUCUUACUUAAAUGCAGGUAAUAACCUGAGUUUGAGAUGCAAGGAAUAACCUGCAUUUUAGAGAGGAGGAAAAUGAGGUUCAGAGCCAUGUGUUGAUUUUGCUAACAAUGGUGGAUCUUGAGCCUGGAUCUCAAUCUUCUGAUUAUGAGAUGCGUGCUUUUUUACCUCCUGCCAUGUUACAUCUAGCCAGUAGAAUACCUAAAAUUCUGUACAACUCUAGGUCAUCUGUCCCACUUUGCCUGGAACAGUUCAGAUUUAUCCUUUUUGGCAGCGUAAUUAUUAAUAAUGUUACCUUUUACUCUCAAAAAAUGUCUUAAAUUGGACCAAUGAUCAUAUAGUAAUUUCACUGAUGGCACGGCGCAGAGAGACUCCA
rnacentral:lncRNA from 1 species